AUUGAACGCUGGCGGCAGGCCUAACACAUGCAAGUCGAACGGUAGCACAGAGAGCUUGCUCUCGGGUGACGAGUGGCGGACGGGUGAGUAAUGUCUGGGAAACUGCCCGAUGGAGGGGGAUAACUACUGGAAACGGUAGCUAAUACCGCAUAACGUCGCAAGACCAAAGUGGGGGACCUUCGGGCCUCACACCAUCGGAUGUGCCCAGAUGGGAUUAGCUAGUAGGUGGGGUAAUGGCUCACCUAGGCGACGAUCCCUAGCUGGUCUGAGAGGAUGACCAGCCACACUGUAAAUGAGACACGGUCCAGACACCUACGGGAGGCAGCAGUGGUGAAUAUUGCACAAUGGGCGCAAGCCUGAUGCAGCCAUGCCGCGUGUAUGAAGAAGGCCUUCGGGUUGUAAAGUACUUUCAGCGGGGAGGAAGGCGGUGAAGUUAAUAACUUCACCGAUUGACGUUACCCGCAGAAGAAGCACCGGCUAACUCCGUGCCAGCCGCCGCCGUAA
rnacentral:rRNA from 1 species